rnacentral:pre_miRNA from 1 species
AAGUGGUUCUUAACAGUUCAACAGUUCAUUUCCAAAAUUGUGAAAUGUUUAGGACCACUUAA